rnacentral:rRNA from 1 species
UACGUAGGGGGCAAGCGUUGUCCGGAUUUAUUGGGCGUAAAGGGCGCGUAGGCGGCUUUGCAAGUGGCGGUGAAAUCCCUCGGCUUAACCGAGGAACUGCCUGCCAGACUGUGAGGCUUGAGACCGGGAGAGGUGAGUGGAAUUCCCAGUGUAGCGGUGAAAUGCGUAGAUAUCAGGAGGAACACCGGUGGUGUAGACGCUUCUGGACCGUAACUGACGCUGAGACACGAAGCGUGGGUAGCAAACAGG